GAUGAACGCUGGCGGCGUGCCUAAUACAUGCAAGUCGAGCGAACGGACGAGAAGCUUGCUUCUCUGAUGUUAGCGGCGGACGGGUGAGUAACACGUGGAUAACCUACCUAUAAGACUGGGAUAACUUCGGGAAACCGGAGCUAAUACCGGAUAAUAUUUUGAACCGCAUGGUUCAAAAGUGAAAGACGGUCUUGCUGUCACUUAUAGAUGGAUCCGCGCUGCAUUAGCUAGUUGGUAAGGUAACGGCUUACCAAGGCAACGAUGCAUAGCCGACCUGAGAGGGUGAUCGGCCACACUGGAACUGAGACACGGUCCAGACUCCUACGGGAGGCAGCAGUAGGGAAUCUUCCGCAAUGGGCGAAAGCCUGACGGAGCAACGCCGCGUGAGUGAUGAAGGUCUUCGGAUCGUAAAACUCUGUUAUUAGGGAAGAACAUAUGUGUAAGUAACUGUGCACAUCUUGACGGUACCUAAUCAGAAAGCCACGGCUAACUACGUGCCAGCAGCCGCGGUAAUACGUAGGUGGCAAGCGUUAUCCGGAAUUAUUGGGCGUAAAGCGCGCGUAGGCGGUUUUUUAAGUCUGAUGUGAAAGCCCACGGCUCAACCGUGGAGGGUCAUUGGAAACUGGAAAACUUGAGUGCAGAAGAGGAAAGUGGAAUUCCAUGUGUAGCGGUGAAAUGCGCAGAGAUAUGGAGGAACACCAGUGGCGAAGGCGACUUUCUGGUCUGUAACUGACGCUGAUGUGCGAAAGCGUGGGGAUCAAACAGGAUUAGAUACCCUGGUAGUCCACGCCGUAAACGAUGAGUGCUAAGUGUUAGGGGGUUUCCGCCCCUUAGUGCUGCAGCUAACGCAUUAAGCACUCCGCCUGGGGAGUACGACCGCAAGGUUGAAACUCAAAGGAAUUGACGGGGACCCGCGCAAGCGGUGGAGCAUGUGGUUUAAUUCGAAGCAACGCGAAGAACCUUACCAAAUCUUGACAUCCUUUGACAACUCUAGAGAUGGAGCCUUCCCCUUCGGGGGACAAAGUGACAGGUGGUGCAUGGUUGUCGUCAGCUCGUGUCGUGAGAUGUUGGGUUAAGUCCCGCAACGAGCGCAACCCUUAAGCUUAGUUGCCAUCAUUAAGUUGGGCACUCUAAGUUGACUGCCGGUGACAAACCGGAGGAAGGUGGGGAUGACGUCAAAUCAUCAUGCCCCUUAUGAUUUGGGCUACACACGUGCUACAAUGGACAAUACAAAGGGCAGCGAAACCGCGAGGUCAAGCAAAUCCCAUAAAGUUGUUCUCAGUUCGGAUUGUAGUCUGCAACUCGACUACAUGAAGCUGGAAUCGCUAGUAAUCGUAGAUCAGCAUGCUACGGUGAAUACGUUCCCGGGUCU
rnacentral:rRNA from 1 species